GAACAUACCUCAUAGUACGGAAUAACUGCGGGAAACUGUAGCUAAUACCGUAUAUUCCAGUAAUGGGAAAGAUUUAUCGCUAUGAGAUUGGCCCGCGCAAGAUUAGCUUGUUGGUGAGGUAAUGGCUCACCAAGGCUCCGAUCUUUAGCUGGUUUGAGAGGACGAUCAGCCACACUGGGACUGAGACACGGCCCAGACUCCUACGGGAGGCAGCAGUAGGGAAUAUUGGACAAUGGGGGAAACCCUGAUCCAGCAAUGCAGCGUGAGUGACGAAGGCCUUAGGGUUGUAAAACUCUUUCAUCGGUGAGGAUAAUGACAGUAGCCGAAGAAGAAGGACCGGCUAAUUCCGUGCCAGCAGCCGCGGUAAUACGGAAGGUCCUAGCGUUGUUCGGAAUUACUGGGCGUAAAGCGCAUGUAGGCGGAACAAAAAGUUAGAAGUGAAAUCCCUGGGCUCAACCUAGGAAUUGCUUUUAAAACUUUUGUUCUGGAAUUCAGGAGAGGAAAAUGGAAUUUCCAGUGUAGAGGUGAAAUUCGUAGAUAUUGGAAGGAACACCAGUGGCGAAGGCGAUUUUCUGGACUGAUAUUGACGCUGAGAUGCGAAGGCAUGGGUAGCAAACGGGAUUAGAUACCCCGGUAGUCCAUGCAGUAAACGAUGGGUGCUAGUCGUCGGACUUUUGUUCGGUGUCGUAGCUAACGCGUUAAGCACCCCGCCUGGGGAGUACGGUCGCAAGAUUAAAACUCAAAUAAAUUGACGGGGACCCGCACAAGCAGUGGAGCAUGUGGUUUAAUUCGACGCAACGCGAAGAACCUUACCAGCGUUUGACAUGGGAAGUGCCGGUUACAGAAUGGUAACCUUCAGUUCGGCUGGCUUCCGCACAGGUGCUGCAUGGCUG
rnacentral:rRNA from 1 species